rnacentral:rRNA from 1 species
UAAGGUUAAGCAAAUAAGCGUACAUGGUGAAUGCCUUGGCAGUCAGAGGCGAUGAAGGACGUGCAAAUCUGCCAAAAGCGUCGGUAAGCUGAUAUGAAGCGCAUAACCCGUCGAUAUCCGAAUGGGGAAACCCGAUGCAAUUAAAUGCAUCAUUAUUAAUUGAAUUAAAUAAAUUAAUAAAGCAAACCAAGGGAACUGAAACAUCUAAGUA